rnacentral:lncRNA from 1 species
AGGCUUUGUUUUCCAAAUUAGAAUGCAUGAUUGGAGCCCCUCAUCUCAUGGAAUUAGUUGUUAAUGGUAGAUUUCAGCCUUUCCAAAGAAAUAGGUCGAAGUUACAAUUGUUGUUUCCAUGACACACUAGAAUGAAUGAACAUUCCUAUAUUGAGCAAGACAGGAAAGAUAUCAGAAACAGUGCCUACAGCCCCUCCCUAUGCAAGUGAUGCUAGCUCAGGUAUGUCUUUUACCCACAUUUUCCUUCAACAGUGCUGCUGCACCCAGUCUUAGAUGAGGAUGCUUUUCCUUCUGUUUCUGUUAAGUACUGAAGAAGGAUGGAGAGGAUGCUCUCAGAGGAGACCCCAAGAAUAUGCUCUCUUCUGGUUUUCUGAAUUAACUCUGAGUUAUCAAUGUAUUCUUCAGUGGGCUUUCAAUUGCCAUGACUCUGCCAUGUAAGGAAAGAGAUUACAAAAGUGGGAGAUAACUCACCUCGGGAAAUUGAUGCUUUCUUUUCAUGUAAACACUUCUUGUAAAGAUGCCUCACGAUAGUUGAUGGGAGUCACCUCUUGCAUACUUGAGUUUAUGGGACAAAUUCUCCUCUGAGUUUCCUCCACUAUAUUGCAUUAUGAGAAUAGGAAUUAGCCUCGCUUUCUCUCUCUCUCUUUCUCUCUCUCUCAACACUGAAGUGUCCCCACAAUGGUAGUUAUGAGAACAGCACUAUUUAAUAUUUUCUUUGAUAGAACAUUUUAAAGGGAACCCUGGGUGCAUAUUGCUUGGCUUUGUUUUCUUUUCAAACCCUUAGGCAAGAAGCAUUUG